UGGUCAAAACCCGGACGGAAAGGUGGGGAGUGACGUCAAGUCCUCAUGGCCUUUAUGACCAGGGCUACACACGUACUACAAUGGCCGGUCAAAGGGCAGCGACACAGCGAUGUGAAGCGAAUCCCGAAAAGCCGGUCUCAGUCCGGAUUGGAGUCUGCAACUCGACUCCAUGAAGUUGGAAUCGCUAGUAAUCGCGGAUCAGCACGCCGCGGUGAAUACGUUCCCGGGUUUU
rnacentral:rRNA from 1 species